rnacentral:rRNA from 1 species
UCUAUGUCGGCGACCGGCGCACGGGUGCGUAACGCGUAUGCAACCUACCCAUUACAGGGGGAUAACACUGAGAAAUCGGUACUAAUACCCCAUAACAUCCAGGGAGGCAUCUUCUUGGGUUGAAAACUCCGGUGGUAAUGGAUGGGCAUGCGUUGUAUUAGUUAGUUGGUGGGGUAACGGCUCACCAAGACAACGAUACAUAGGGGGACUGAGAGGUUAACCCCCCCACAUUGGUACUGAGACACGGACCAAACUCCUACGGAAGGCAGCAG